rnacentral:rRNA from 1 species
CUACGGGUGGCUCCAGUGGGGAAUAUUGGACAAUGGGGGAAACCCUGAUCCAGCAAUGCCGCGUGUGUGAAGAAGGCCUGCGGGUUGUAAAGCACUUUCGGUUGGGAGGACUGCUUCUAGCACUAAUAUUGUUGGAAGUUGACGUUACCUUCAGAAGAAGCACCGGCUAACUCCGUGCCAGCAGCCGCGGUAAUACGGAGGGUGCAGGCGUUAAUCGGAAUUACUGGGCGUAAAGCGCGCGUAGGCGGCUAGAUCAGUCGGGUGUGAAAGCCCCGGGCAUAACCUGGGAACUGCAUCCGAUACUGUCUAGCUUGAGUACAGGAGAGGAGAGUGGAAUUCCACAUGUAGCGGUGAAAUGCGUAGAUAUGUGGAGGAACACCAAUGGCGAAGGCAGCUCUCUGGCCUGAUACUGACGCUGAGGUGCGAAAGCGUGGGGAGCAAACAGGAUUAGAUACCCGUGUAGUC